CUGGUGACAUAACUGACUGACAGAAGGAAAGACUGAAAAGCAGUGAGAGCAAAUUGUUCUCUUGUUUGAAUAAACUGAGUUUGUUCAAUUUUGUUUGCAGUGAAUUUAUGUAUAAAUCUCCAUUGUGCAUUCCUGCACUUAGUAAGGAAGAACUCCCUGCAAUUAGGCUGGGGACUGCAAGCUGGGAAGCAGCUCUGUGGAAAAGGUCCUGACGGUGUUGGUGGGCAGCAAGAUGACCAUAAGCCAGCAGUGUCUUGGCAGCAGAGAAGGCCACCAAUCUGCUGGGCUGUAUUAACAGGAAUAGAGCUAGGAGGUCAAGGAUUUACUACAGUGUAUGGCAUCAGUGCAAGAGACAACAGACAUCAACUAGAACAAUACUGUCUGAGACUAGCAUACAGAAAAACAUUUUGAUCACGAAGACAGUUGUCAAAAAGAUUGUGCAACCUCCAUCCUUAGAGACUUUUCAAGAGCAGAUGAGACAGCUGGUCACACCUCAUGGCUGGUUGGACAGGAGACAUCCUGAGGUCCCUUCCAAGCUGAAAUUUCCCAUUUUUAAGAUUAUGUUAUUUUAAUGUGGUUGAGAGCUCAGUUGACUGUGGUCCUGGAAAGAACAUGGUGUAGAAAAUGUAUUAACUAUAUGAACUAUUCAUCAAUUUUACUUAUCUGCAAUCAGGCCCAUACACUGCCAUUAAAGAAGGGACAUUUCUAUCCCCUCCGCUCCGUAUGAUAACUCAGUUUGCAGUAAAGGCCUCAUGCAGCAAUGUAACAUCUUCUUGGAAGCUUAAGAGUACCCUCUGCUGGCUUUACAUGGGAGUUGUGAAAGUGUGCAGCACAAGCUACUGAAAUAACAUUGUAGAGAUAGGCUCCUUUCCUGGUGUAGCACAGCUGUGCAUCUCCACAUGGGGCAAACAGCUGUGUAGCAACAUUUAUCAUCUACAAAGAGAAUGCCUGGAGCAACAUCGAACUGUGAUUGCUACAGAGUUCUCUUUCCCAAGCAAUGGGAAUUCCAGAGCUGUCAUCCCAUUAGGAUGGCUGUCUUGUCAAAUAGCCUGUCAAACACCAUCUGCGUGAAGAGCUUUAACAUAAAAUAAGACUUAUUCUGGGGACACUGUUUGUUUUGUAUGAACAAUGUGUAAUGAACUGAUAAG
ensembl:lncRNA